ACUUCAACACUUGUUCGAUAAUUCGAGUGAUUUUGUAAACUACUAUUCAAGCGAUUGUGAAAGAAACGCGCUUCUCUCUUGGAAUCAUCAGUGUCAUCAGGUUAUCGAGCUACGACCGUUAAUGUUUAAGCGGGGUUACACACCGUGCAUGGCACAGUUGUUAGUCGCCCGGUAUUAGUUGAGAAGGAUGCGUACAUUUUACACGAUUCUUGUACUCGUGAUCCUCUCUGUGAGCCUCGGCGAAUGUUGGUCCUUCUCGAACAUCGCGAUGUCAAUCGACAAAUUGAUACGACCGCAAAACACCUCGGAAGUUUUAAAUGUUAACGGAAAUGGCAGCGCUACAUCAAUGGCAUCCCCGGAGGUCACGGUACAAGGAAGAAUAAUAUUCGUACCACGAAGGAAAGUCCACUGUGAACCGGGUCAUGAAGCCGAUCGGCGUGGCAAAUGUAGACAAGUGUGGUGAAGCUUAUUUUGAUAAAUACUCAAGAUUCUUUAUAGACAGUUGAACCACUCCUGUUUAUGAAAGAAAACAUCCCCGGGAAAGAGAAUGAUUAACAGGAUUAAAAAGGAAACAAGAAUAUUAUUCUAAUUAUUGGGAAUAAAUAUCUAAUUGGCAUCUCUGUAGGUCUAUGAAAAUUAUAGAAAAUUAGAGAGAGAGAGAGAGAUAUGUAUUUAAUUAAUUAAUGAUUUAUGUAAGAUCUAUACCAGUUCAUCGAAUCGAAUUGGCAAUCGUAAAUUUCAUUCGAAAUGCAAUUAAGAUGUAUAGACUACAAACUAAAUUAUUUUGUCAAGUAUGUUUAUCCCUACACAAGAAAUAGGCUAUGAUUUUAUAUUAAACAUGACAACAAUUAAAUUCA